AGAGUUUGAUCUUGGCUCAGAUUGAACGCUGGCGGCAUGCCUUACACAUGCAAGUCGAACGGCAGCACGGGAGCUUGCUCCUGGUGGCGAGUGGCGAACGGGUGAGUAAUAUAUCGGAACGUACCCUAGAGUGGGGGAUAACGCAGCGAAAGUUGCGCUAAUACCGCAUACGAUCUACGGAUGAAAGUGGGGGAUCGCAAGACCUCAUGCUCAUGGAGCGGCCGAUAUCUGAUUAGCUAGUUGGUGGGGUAAAGGCCUACCAAGACAUCGAUCAGUAGCUGGUCUGAGAGGACGACCAGCCACACUGGAACUGAGACACGGUCCAGACUCCUACGGGAGGCAGCAGUGGGGAAUUUUGGACAAUGGGGGCAACCCUGAUCCAGCAAUGCCGCGUGAGUGAAGAAGGCCUUCGGGUUGUAAAGCUCUUUUGUCAGGGAAGAAACGGUGAGGGCUAAUAUCCUUUGCUAAUGACGGUACCUGAAGAAUAAGCACCGGCUAACUACGUGCCAGCAGCCGCGGUAAUACGUAGGGUGCAAGCGUUAAUCGGAAUUACUGGGCGUAAAGCGUGCGCAGGCGGUUAUGUAAGUCAGAUGUGAAAUCCCCGGGCUCAACCUGGGAAUGGCAUUUGAGACUGCAUGGCCAGAGUGUGUCAGAGGGGGGUAGAAUUCCACGUGUAGCAGUGAAAUGCGUAGAGAUGUGGAGGAAUACCGAUGGCGAAGGCAGCCCCCUGGGAUAACACUGACGCUCAUGCACGAAAGCGUGGGGAGCAAACAGGAUUAGAUACCCUGGUAGUCCACGCCCU
rnacentral:rRNA from 1 species